UAUUACACUUAAAAAUAGAACUGAUAAAAAUGGAGUCAGUGGAGUUGAACGGGGAAGAAGCAUCCUAAGAUGAAAUGGUAUCUUGCUGAUCUGGAUCUCACCAAUCAAACUAGACUGGCUGAGCAGUGAGUUCCAGGAAUUUACCUGAUAGGGUUGUCCUGUAUUUCACAUUAUCACAUUCAAUCUCUUAUUUUUGUUUCUUUCCCUCACUGUCUUCUUUCUUUCUUCAGAUGCCAGUCUUGUAGUUGUCUCAAAGUAAUUCUGGGAUGUUGUCUUCACCUUAGCAACUCCAAUGGAACCCGACAUAGACUGAAGAUCAGCAGCUCUCCUGGAAUCCCCUGAAGACUCCAGCUCCAGACUGAGAUUGCUGAGAUGGCAAUUAUAAACUCACACAACUUGAACAAGGCCAGCGCAAGCCAGACAGAACCUGAACAUGGUGGAUACAAGGAUGCAAACUCUCUGCAAGCAAAAAGCUAAUCAUGACUAUUCUACCUGCAACGUCUAGAAUUAGGGCCUCAUCUAUGGCAACUAUAGAAUGUAUAGAAUGUAUACUUGUAAAAAUAUCUCAGCAGAGUCAAUAAAGGUGAAGAGUUUG
rnacentral:lncRNA from 1 species